AUACGUAGGUCCCGAGCGUUGUCCGGAUUUAUUGGGCGUAAAGCGAGCGCAGGCGGUUUAAUAAGUCUGAAGUUAAAGGCAGUGGCUUAACCAUUGUUCGCUUUGGAAACUGUUAGACUUGAGUGCAGAAGGGGAGAGUGGAAUUCCAUGUGUAGCGGUGAAAUGCGUAGAUAUAUGGAGGAACACCGGUGGCGAAAGCGGCUCUCUGGUCUGUAACUGACGCUGAGGCUCGAAAGCGUGGGGAGCAAACAGGAUUAGAUACCCUGGUAGUCCACGCCGUAAACGAUGAGUGCUAGGUGUUAGGCCCUUUCCGGGGCUUAGUGCCGCAGCUAACGCAUUAAGCACUCCGCCUGGGGAGUACGACCGCAAGGUUGAAACUUAAAGGAAUUGACGGGG
rnacentral:rRNA from 1 species